rnacentral:lncRNA from 1 species
CACCUACUCUACCAGGAACAUCAGAACAGGAAGGUACAUCCUUAACAGCAGUAAUUCAGGACUUAGCAAGCUCUCUGUUUCACCAACCAACCCUUUAAGUCAACAACCUCCUACUCAUCCAUUGGCACAUGUUUUCCUGAGUGAUAAUUGCCACUCUUCCCACAGGUGAACAGGGUAAGAAGUGGAAAACACCCCAGGCCGAGGCAGCGCCUGCAGCUUGCUUUGUUUUGUUUUGAAAUUGCUUGAGAGAAAUCUUCCUUGUACCUCCUAAGCUGCCUGUCAUAUGUGAAAAGCCGGAACG